rnacentral:rRNA from 1 species
AUUGAACGCUGGCGGAAUGCUUACACAUGCAAGUCGAACGGCAGCACGGGGCAACCUGGUGGCGAGUGGCGAACGGGUGAGUAAUACAUCGGAACGUGCCCAGUCGUGGGGGAUAACGUAGCGAAAGUUACGCUAAUACCGCAUACGAUCUAAGGAUGAAAGCGGGGGAUCGCAAGACCUCGCGCGAUUGGAGCGGCCGAUGUCAGAUUAGGUAGUUGGUGGGGUAAAGGCCCACCAAGCCGACGAUCUGUAGCUGGUCUGAGAGGACGACCAGACACACGGGGACGGAGACACGGCCCAGACUCCUACGGGAGGCAGCAGUGGGGAAGUUUGGACAAUGGGCGCAAGCCUGAUCCAGCCAUUCCGCGUGCAGGAUGAAGGCCUUCGGGUUGUAAACUGCUUUUGUACGGAGCGAAAAGGCUCUCUCUAAUACAGGGGGCUCAUGACGGUACCGUAAGAAUAAGCACCGGCUAACUACGUGCCAGCAGCCGCCGUAA